rnacentral:lncRNA from 1 species
UUGAGAACAGCCAACAAGUCUUUAAAACUAGAAAUGUUAAAAGGGCAAAACAUAACGCAUGAUGAAAAUAAUGAUAUAAGUACUAAACGAGAGAAAAAAAAAGGAAACAAAUGUGAGGUGGUGAAUACAUGAUGAAAUCGAAUCGUGCAUUGUGCUUUGUUGGAAGAUCGUUGGACCAACGCUGAUUGGGAUUUUCUUGUUCUUAUUCUCAAUAGUAACUAUAUAAUAUGAAAUAAUUUUUAGUAAAUUAGAAUACGUAAAUAUCAGAACUUCCAUGAUUUUUAUGGAUUUUCUUAUAAAAUUUUAUAAUAAAGAAAAGGAAUUUA